CCUUAGAGUGGGGAAUAACUAGUCGAAAGAUUAGCUAAUACCGCAUAAGACCACAGGAUCUGAGGAUCUAGGGGUCAAAGGAGCAAUUCGCUCUAAGAUGAGCCCGCGUCAGAUUAGCUAGUUGGUGAGGUAACGGCUCACCAAGGCAUUGAUCUGUAGCUGGUCUGAGAGGAUGAUCAGCCACACUGGAACUGAGACACGGUCCAG
rnacentral:rRNA from 1 species